UUCCUCAUGGCCCAAUGGUCAAGGCGUCUGACUACGGUUAGUCACUUAAGGGUGAUGGAAAUCAGAAGAUUCCAGGUUCGAAUCCUGGUGGGGAAG
rfam:Pichia sorbitophila strain CBS 7064 chromosome I complete sequence.